GCCGGCCCAGACCGUUUGGCUUCUGGAAAGAAGUGUGGGUUUUUUUAAGCAAAAAAAGUGUAACUUUUGCCUAGUUCUUCAUAUUUCUUUGUUAACAAGGUUAGCUUUUCUGAUCACUGGAUCUGGGACUGGUGGGUUUGGAGAGGGUGAGGGAGUGUGUCCAAAGCUAGAAGAUCUUUCUGUCAGUUUAUUUCCACCGGACUCACAUAUAGACCCCGGCAGUGUGGCUCCUGCCGCCUGGGCAGGACUGGAUGGGGGUCGCUCUCGGGGCAACUCCAGGAACAUCAUAUUCCCGAUGGUCCGCUCGACCGCUAGCACGCAGUUACACCGAACCUCAAAGCAGAACAAGGUCCUCUGGGCAUCUGGGACAAAAGUCACUGAUAACUUACUUCCGUAGCAACACUAAGCCAGAAGGCAGUGACGAAAAUGACCCAAGUGUUUUAUAUUCAGCCAAACAGACCAAGCAUAAGACCAUAAGCCUUUAACGCAGAACGCUCAAACUUGCUCCAGAGCCAGCCCUUCUUUUUGGCAUCCACCAGAGAAUUAACCAGAACCACAGCGACAGGUGAGAUCUUUAGAUUAAGAUUAGUGUCCCUGCCAGGAGGCAGUGCAAGGAAUGCCCGGUGUACAGCAAGAAGUUUCUGUGCCCGUCUGUCUACCUCACCCCCACGGUGACCCCGCUGAGCCUGGAGGCUGCACCCCCUGGCAGUGGCGGAUCCAGCUUUGGGGCUCCCGAAAUUCUCGGCCCACUCUCUAGGCAAGACCUCGGAGCAUCUUGCAAAGAUGCCGAGUCGCACCUAUGGAGGAGCGCGCAGAGCUGCCAGGCUACCCUGGAACAGCUUUGUCGAGGGAUGAAGCCCACAGCUGAGCCUGCGGCCACGAGGGGCCACGUGCUGAGGACAGGCGUGCAGCAGAGCCGUUACUUAAAACAGAGGCAGUGGGUGCCUGCCGGCCACCUGUCCUUGGUUCUUUCUUCCUACCACAAGUCGUUAGUGAAUCGUGCUGAGGCUGUACCAGACCCUGGAGCCUUUUUACCCCUCCCCCACCUGGCCCCACUGCCGCGCCUACCGCCAGGCCCGCCUUCCGUCGGCUCUCACUCGGCUCUCGGAGCCCGGCCCAGUUUUGCCUGCGCGCCGAGGAGCCAGCGUCUGAGGGUUCACCCCCAGACCAGGGCUGCCACGGCCGCAGGCCUGUCGGGUACAGAAGAUGCACACAACCGAGGCUCUCCCGUGGGGUCCGCGGACUGAGGAGCCCACAGAGGGCACAGGGUUUUGCCUGAGAUCUGCUUCGCUUGGCUUCUGGGGGCCUCUGCCCCGCUUCCCCAAACGCUGCCACCGGCUUCGCCUGGGCAUGCACUAGACUGCUCCCCAGACGCCUCAUGGUCUGUUUUUCUUAGGAGCCUGACCUGAAACGAAGGCAUUACUUGGUCUCGCUGGACAUUCGUGACAGCCCCCAGCGCUUCCAGCCUUACGGAUCUGCCCCUCACGGCGUUCCGCCGGGGACUAAGUUACUUCCGUUAGUUGAAGAGGCUUAGCCGUCCAACAACUGGACCACCACAUGAGGCUGUUCACCGAUCGUAAGAUGUACCAUAUUUGAGCUCGAUAACAGAACAACUUAAGGCUUUCAUAUCACUCUCAUGUGAGUGAAACCAUCAACAGGUGUGCACAACUGAUCUGAAGGUUUUCACGUUCACAGUUGGUUUUCAGUUGUCAAGCUGGCAUGAUUCGCUGAUCCAAGCUGGUGGUAUGCAGGACGUAUGGGCUGCGACCGUGCAGGGGCCAGGGAACUGGAGCAGCCACAUCCACGGGGCGCAGCGGGGCGGAGCCACUCCGGCCCACGCAACGCAGCUUCAUGCUUGUGAACUGGCUGAGGCUUUCCCAGCAGAAAGCAGCCACAGCCGUGACUGCCAUCGUGAGGCUUCCCGUUUCUGGACGAGCCGUGGCAUGGCGCCGGCAGGAGGUAGAGAGGCAGUGGCUGGCCAUUCCUCAGCAGAACACUCCAGCCCAGCAGGACUCUCCUGGCAUUGACAGGGAUCACCGAGCCUAGUGUGUAACAGGUAUGAGUUUGCUCUUGCUGCUUUAACAAGUUAAGCCACUUCAUAAUGUGUUAGGUUUUGAUAGAGCACACCAAGUCUAGCAACACAAACUGCAGCUGAGCUGUAAGUAGAACAAGUUCUGCAGUUCUGGAGUCAGAUCUGGAGUGAGUCUGACUGCGCUGAAACAGGCGUUAGCAGGGCUUCUUGAGUUUCUAGGAGAUUCAAAUCCAGCCUGACGCCUCCAGCCAUUAUGAGUUGCCUGUAUUCCCUGGCUCAUGGCUCCCGUUUUCCAUCUUUGGAGUCGUCAGGGGCCGGAAGGGACAGGAUUUAAAUGUCAGGGGGAAAGAAAGGAAGCCCAGGAACACAGAGGCACGCAGACCUACCUCAAGGGAUUAGGCACAGACCCUGCCUGUGUCUCGAUGGCGGCAUCCCCUGUAGAAGCAGUGCUGAGCAGUCGGGAGCCUGAACAGCACUGCCUAGAGCAGAGGGACUCAUUUUACAGCCAAGGAGCCGAGACAGUGGACACAUGUCCAACUGGUCCUGCUGUAUACACCCCCAUCACUCAGAAACUGGUCCUAUGGGUGUCUUCAGGAAGGCAUUUUUGCAUCCUAACAUGCCAGCCUAGUAGUAGUGCAAUGUCCUCCAGAAUGCUACCAGCAAGUCCAGCCAGCAGCCAUAUCACGCUCCCAGGCCCACGUUUUAUGCAUUGGUGACAGUGGCACAAGUCACUCUAACGCCUUUCAUCAUCAUUCCCAAGGACCCACUUGACAUUGUGCUUUAGUAAUCAGGUGUCUUCUGUGAUUUAAGGAAGCUUCCAGAAGCCACAGUCAGGGUUCCAACCAACUCAGGAGUCUGGGCACUUUGUGGCUCUGUUGGAUUCCUUGGGCCAGUAGUCCAGCAGGGACAGUAUGGGUCUGCUCCACUGAUGGGCAUCAGCCCUGUCAUCACAAGUUCGGGUUACUUAUACACACAGUGGCAGGGAUUAGUAUAUCUAGAAUUCGGGAUUUACAGGAAAGCAUCUUUGUGCUCAGAGUUAUCAGAACUGCAGCAACCAUGGCCCAACCAGGACAAGUCAGCCAGGGGCUCAGACUAAGGGACGAAAGUGUGAGUCGCUCCACUUCAAGCAGAAAUGUUGGCCAAGGACAAGGGUGACUCAUGAGCAACAGAAACCAGUAUCAGUCACACCCCUGGGCCGACAAGCCUGAGCACAGGAUGUAACUUGCAACCAAACGCACCAUUUAUAAGUCACUUUAGAGAUUGUAGCUUGCAGAUACAUGAGUAUCCAAUCCAAGUUCAUUCAAGACGUGGGUGAUCAAUUCUGACGUUUCGUCCCAAAUCCCCUCAACCCCAACCUCACCUACAGCUGCAGAACAGUCUCGGAUUCCCAUCUCUGCUUCACCACCCAAGGGCUUUCUCCAGCACUGAGUUCUCAGCCUGCCUGCUUACUUAGCCUUCUUGCAAAGAUGACCAGUGAGCAGGAGACAGCAAUUGCGUGGCUAGUGCUCCAGCUUCCCGUUCCUCAGUGGAACAACUCGGGCGUAUCAUCUGCCAUUUCUCAGUCCCCAGUGGGAUUGUACCAGUUGCCCGUAGCAGUUUCAUUAAGAUGCCUCUAUUGGUUCUAUUCAGUCCACUGUCUCACCUUCCCAACUCUCACCCGGGUUCUCCUACAAUAGUCUCCCAAGUGACCCACUGAAGCCCUUAUCUCGAGAUCUGCUUGCAAAGAAGCCAAAGCAGAAACAAUUCAAAGUCGAAAUAUGGAAGUCUUAGUUAUUUGUAUAUUGCUGUGAGACAGGUGAGAGAAUGAAUUGGAAAGGCUAGCUGUACGAACUGAAGGUGGGAAAAGUGGGAGAAGCACAGAUGAAGUUAGACCUCAGUCAGUCAGUCCCAUUCAUUCACUGUCGCCUUAGGCAACUUGCUUUGCAACUUGCUUUGCAACUUGUUUGAAGAAUGACAUUCUGUGAAUUCCCUGUAAAAGCAUACUUGCAACAAGCAUAGGAAAACUUUAAGGCUCUUAGACAUUUUAGGAGCUAGACACUAAACAAACACACUGUAGCUUUCAGAGCCAUUGUGAUAGUUAGCGCAUGCGGACUAGCAGCCCUGGGUCGGUACCUAACAACCUCGCCACAUAAGGCAAGACUCGAACCACACGCAAUGCUACUCUUGGCCGAACACCCUCGUGAGCCUCCCAGAACACAGGAGCAUUAAGAGGCUUGUGAGCUACUGCAAAAGGCCAUUUUUCACUUGCUUCCUCAUCUACUACGGCAGCCACCAUGGGAGUCUGUCAUCGGCUCUGGGGAUCUAACGAGGUGUGCAGUGUCCCUGAAGAUCAGGUUGUUAUUGGGUGGACAACUGGCUCUGAAGACAGACGGGCUCAGAACACCAGGCUCACAGCUGCCUCACAGGCAGUCAAGCUUGCACCAGAGACAGAGCGUCAGUGUUAAGAGCCAGCAUCAGUCCGGGCCGACCGGGAGCUUGUGCAGGAAGACCAGCAGGAUGAACUGGCUGUGGUAGCGGAGGCUCGGAUGGAGCUGUGCAGGUGCAUGUCUCGAUGGUAGUGAAACAUGCUCCAGGGAGGAGUUCGGAUGAAGUGAAGGGUCCUUGUUAUCAUGUUCUGGAACAUGGCUUACUGCUUUCAGAGGGGAACGAUGCGAGGUAUGCCCUCUGUGCUUUUGAGAGCAAUGUGCAUCGCAGUUGGACAUGCUGCUUUGGUUUGCCGAGUAACCAGCAGCUCCGAUUCGGCUUGGAAAGCAGGUUUGCAGCAGCAGGGCCAGCUUGGUCUGCCUGCAUUCCGAAUGCCUCGACUCCUGGAGUUGUAUAAGCUCCAUUUCAGAGAGUUACCUUCCCUAAUAAAGGAAGGCUCAAGUUCGUUCUGGAGACCUAGUAUCCAGCAUGGAACCUGUAGUUAAUGUACCCUAUAUUUGAUACAUUAUGAUACAGAGUAGACAAAGUGCUCUCAUUACAAGAGUAAUACAUCACUAUGAUGUGAUGUAGCAGCUUGAUCGUGGUAUGUUGGCACAUGUUGUAUGCCUUGAAUAGUUUGCCAAGUAAAAUUCAAUCAAACAGAAGGGCAGGCUCAUGUCGGGUAUUUCAAAGUAAUAGAUUUGGGGAUUCUUUCCUCCCUGUGAAUACCACUGGCAGAGAUUAUACAAACAGGCACGACAAAUGGGCCAUUCUUCCCACAAGAACCUUGUUGGGAGAAGCAGAGACUGGCUCUGGGUUUCAGCGUCGUCUCCAAGCACGUUCGCAUCGAGCUGAGGAGUGAGGAAUGGCCAAGGCAGUGUCCUGCAGCACAGAUAACCAAUGUGAGCCUUGAGUGAAGUAACCUACCCCGGUCGGAACCAGUUCGUGGCCGAGUGCAGCGGUAGGAUAGACUGGACCAGGACUGACGAGGACGCGCCCCGCGCAGAAAGGUGUCUCAGGCACACUCACUUUUGGAUAAAUCGUGCACUACGAGCUGCCAAUCUUGGAGGACUUCGAUCUGAACAGAGCCCCAGUUCUCAGGGACGGUGUUCAGGAAGAGAGCUUAGAACACAUGCAGAAGAGCACAGGAGCCGUUGUUAAAACUCAGGACAAGUUGUUCAUAGUCAUUCCAAGUUGAGCUUUGACGUUCGGAGCCCAUUGUUGAAAACAUUCUUCAAACUCACUCGACAUGAGCCCCGUUGCCCCAUUACUCCAGGGCUCAUCCUGGAGUCCUUGCUGCUAGAGACUGCAGGCCUGACUUGAGUGACUAGAGGCACCAGUGGGACCGACUCAAAGGGUCAGGGACUCGAUGGGUGGACUUCAUCUUGAAAUACGGUGGCUACUGCAGUUGGUGAGUCUAACAAGGAAGAGAUGGGGAGAAGACAUACAAGACCGAGGAGCAAGCCGAUCUCAACUCUGCCGGCUACCCUGGCAUGGCUGUCACUACGCGCUUUCCAGACUGAAAGCAAGGAGCAGCUUCUGUUCCAAGAACAGCAAGAGCUGCUUGAGGAAAGCCUAAGCUGACUAAGAUCGCCCAUCAACCCUGUUUCUUCUGGUUCCUUCCUCCUCCCCGCUGUGACGUUGGGCAGCUUCAGGAAUACGAUGGAAGUCAGGGAUGAGCUUGGAGGCAUGGAUCUACUGCUGUCCUUGGUGCAACCAAGCUCUACCUUUCCGGGAUUAGGGCAGUAGACACUUCGAUUCAUGAAGCAUCAGAAUUAACAGAAAGGACCAAAUCGAGCUGCGAGAUUGUUGCUUGGAAUACGCUAACAAGGAAACGAGGGCUGGUGUGUUGGUAGCGCCGUCUUUAUACAGACCUGCAGCCUGUUCACAAAGACCAGUCAAGACUGAAGUGGGAAGAGUCAAAUAAGCAAGCUGGAGAGGAAGACAGGCGAGUUAUCCGGGAGGACAGAGCACAAGGUGUCGGCCACCUGUUCACGAGGAAGUAGGGAAGCAGCAGUUGACAGCAAGCAGUUAAUAAGGUUUACAGAGGCAGGGGCCAGGGCCGCUGGCGAGACAGAACACCCAGACCAUGAACUUCAAGUCUCAGAAUUCACACACGUUUGACCGAGUUCUCGACUGGCAGCGUGAAGUCACCAGCACAGCAGCUGCUGGCAUUCUUGAAAGCAGACAGGUGUCGCUGGCAGUAAGGGACCUGGAGGCAGGUGAGGAUGGUGCAGGGGUGCCUGGUCAGAAAGCCCUUUCCAGAGGCCAGCAGCUGUGGAGAGGCAGAGCCACUCACUGCCGUGCCAGGCUUCAGCCGAGGGACCCUGUCCUGCUCUGCCCCAGGUCUGGUUGUGAACGCUGAUUCGCUGACUCGCUCAGCAAGGCCGAGGCUCUGGACCCCGGAUCCCGUCUGCCAGGAGAGUUGUCUGGAGCUUUGUCGACUCGGAACGUGUCUCCUGAGCAGAUGAUCUACAGGGAGGGAGGUCACAGGCCCCGAGCUCUGCGUCCCCCACGCAGACAGCAGCUGCCCACGCGUGGGGACUGGAGUAGAGGCUGCAUGUCCCCACUGUCGUUCCUGGGGUGACGAGGCAAACCAACGUUUUAAACAGCGCCUGCGUUGAUGCCCCAGGGUGCCAUCGAGCUUCCCGCCUUGCCCCCAAGCAGCUGUGAGGCGCGUCACAGCAGCGACCGAGCCCGCCAUGCUGUGCACUCUAGGCGUGUCUGGCACCGGAUGCCACUCCGUCCCCUUCCCAUUCCAGAUGCGGUUUUUCUGAUAAACUCGAGGAAGCUUCCUAGUUCUCGUAGCACUCGCGGUAGCCACCUGACCAGAUGAAGUUUCUUCAUUACCCCCACCACAGAAGCCUCUCCUGACCACCUGCCCAUCAGACGGGUGCUCCCAGGUGAGCCAGCCUGACCACAGCGGCUCGAGGUAAGGUGCUAAGUCUCCCCCAGCGCCAGGUGGAGGUGUCAGCCCGCGGAUUGUCAGACAGCUAUUUUCUAAGGAAUGCUAUUAAAGACUUAGCUCCCUGGUGAGGCCACAUGAUACUUGAUGUUCACUGCAGGUCUGUGCUGUGCUGUCCCAAGAGCCUUUCCUUCCCUCCAGGGAGUCUAACUGGGAGUUGAUCUAUGUCCCCCCACGGUUUCCCUGCAAGUGGAUCCAAUCUUUGGCCUGAGGUACUGCAAGGUCUGCAGGGAGAAUGAUGCCAGGACAACACGCAGCUGAGCACGGCACUGCUGACGCGAAGGCAGGUGGCCGCAGGGUCUGCUCAGAGGAGUGGGACUGCGCGUGGUCCUCGGCGUGUGCCCGGCGACGCGCGUCAACCACAGAAGCCUGGUCUGUGCAACUCGCGGUCUGAGCUGGGCCAGUCACCUUUUGAAACAGGUGGAAGAGCCCUGGAGUGAAGAGCGACAGGAAACAGCAGCCAGACCCCCAGCGCCUAGCAUCAGAUGCCCAAGCCCGCACCUGUGCCCGCUGCGGCAAGCUGUUCGCCCACUCGGUGCUUAUUCACUCGCUUGUCAGGAGCCCGUGUUGACGUUACAGGUGGGAAGUGUUCCUGCCACUGUGAAGUCUUGACCUAGGAUCAGCGACCAGCCUGUCCACCAAGUUGAAAUGUAUUUCGAUUAAAGACUGGAAUGUUUUAAGUAGAUGUCAGUAAAGGAUAUUUGGAGUCAGAAAGAGAAAGAAAGAAGCAGUCAGGACGGCCUCGCGGCUCAAGGCGCCGCGUUCGGAGAAAGAAGGAAAGAAAGACAAGCCCCAGUAAUGAAAGAGGUCUCUCCUCUUUGUGCUCUGAGAGAGGGAAGACGCGCCUGGCUCGAUGCCUCCAAGGACCUGCCAUCCCGAGUGGUAUUUAGUCUGCGCCCAGUGGCUGCUUCCCCUUCUCUCGAGUUUCUCAAUCCGCUCAUUUAGAGUCCCUCGUUUUUCCCUGUUCUUCUUUCACUUCUAAAGUAAGCUACAGCCAAAACUUCCCUUGAGAGUUACCAAAAGUUCGGUCUUUGCCACCCACCUUCCCCACCACCGAGAACCUCGCGGCACGGGGGCAGCGCUCUGGGACAAACUCGCCCCACCAAGCCCAAGCUGCCGCCCCCGAGUCUCUUUUAUUCUCUGCACCGGCCUCCCUGGAGGAGUGAGGCCCCGUGGCUCCGUGAGUGCUGGGGGCUCGUGAGUGCUGGGGGCUCGUGAGUGCUGGGGGCGGCGGCAGGUGAAACCAAGUCUCUGGAUGCCAGAGGGCUCCCGGGUGUCCUGCUUUCAACAGGUGUUGCUGCCCUCUCAGAUUUCUUUUUAUUUAUUUUUGGUACUACGUUGUAAAGGCUGCUGAGUGUUUUGAGAAAGUAGUUUAGAGUCACCUUCGAAGAGUAGCUGAGUCAACUUUCCUUCAAGUACUUAAAGCUUAACAUGCUUGGCACAUCCUGAGAAAUUUCAGACGAAGAAAGAUGGGUAGCUAUCUGAUCAGACGCUGGUGUUAAAGUCAAACGUCCUUAACCUCAGACAACACUGAUGGCCGUCAUCACUCACCUGUGUGUCAUUCAUUUAUUCUUCCACCCACAAGCCUCACUGAGCCUUACGGUGCAGUGGAAGCCAGGAGGUUCCCGGUGAGGCUUUGGGUUCCGCCUGUGCUUCCACGUUGCAUCGGGAGAGACUAGGUGAUGAAACUCUCUUCAUCCCUCAAGUUUUAUGUGAAUCUAAGAUUAUCCGUGGCUGGGCAUGGUGGCCCACGCCUGUAAUCCUAGCACUCUGGGAGGCCAAGGCGGGCGGAUUGCUCAA